rnacentral:pre_miRNA from 1 species
AAUAAAUCAAUUUUUCACUUUUUAUAUAUAAUUUUUGACUCUUCGUUUUAUUCAAAAAUUUUUUACGAUUGAUAUUUUUAUUUUUAUUAGAUGAUAAAUCAUAAAUAGUAUUUUACGUGUGACUAAUUUUUUUUAAUUUUUAAAAUUUUUUCAAAUAAGACGGAUGAUCAAACGUUGGACAUGAAAACCCGAAG